CUCGUCUGUCUGUUGGGCUGGAGGCAGGGCCUUUGUGAAGGCGGGUUGUACCCAGACGCCUCUGGAUCCUUCUUCCAGCCCAGAGGCAGACUCA
rnacentral:pre_miRNA from 1 species